rnacentral:rRNA from 1 species
CAGGGAUUGCCUCAGUAACGGCGAGUGAAGCGGCAACAGCUCAAAUUUGAAAUCUGACCCCGUCAGGGGCCCGAGUUGUAAUUUGUAGAGGACGCUUCGGGCGCGGCGCCGGUCUAAGUUCCUUGGAACAGGACGUCGCAGAGGGUGAGAAUCCCGUACGUGACCGGCGACCAAGCCCAUGUGAAGCCCCUUCGACGAGUCGAGUUGUUUGGGAAUGCAGCUCAAAACGGGUGGUAAAUUUCAUCUAAAGCUAAAUAUUGGCCAGAGACCGAUAGCGGACAAGUAGAGUGAUCGAAAGAUGAAAAGCACUUUGGAAAGAGAGUCAAACAGUACGUGAAAUUGUUGAAAGGGAAGCGCUUGCGACCAGACCGGUCCGGGGGCGAUCAGCCGCUGCUCGUCAGCGGUGCACUCGCCCCCGAUCCGGCCAGCAUCGGUUCGGGCGGCGGGACAAAAGGCCCGGGAAUGUAGCUCCCUCCGGGGAGUCUUAUAGCCCGGGUCGUCAUGCCGCCCGCCCGGACCGAGGACCGCGCUUCGGCUAGGAUGCUGGCGUAAUGGUUGCAAGCGACCCGUCUUGAAACACGGACCAAGGAGUCUAACAUCUAUGCGAGUGUUUGGGUGUCAAACCCAGGCGCGGAAUGAAAGUGAACGGAGGUGGGAGCUUCGGCGCACCAUCGACCGAUCCCGAUGUUUUCGGACGGAUUUGAGUAUGAGCAUAGCUGUUGGGACCCGAAAGAUGGUGAACUAUGCCCGGAUAGGGUGAAGCCAGAGGAAACUCUGGUGGAGGCUCGCAGCGGUUCUGACGUGCAAAUCGAUCGUCAAAUCUAGGCAUAGGGGCGAAAGACCAAUCGAACCAUCUAGUAGCUGGUUCCUGUCGAAGUUUCCCUCAGGAUAGCAGUAACGUUUUCAGUUUUAUGAGGUAAAGCGAAUGAUUAGAGGCCUUGGGGCUGAAACAGCCUUAACCUAUUCUCAAACUUUAAAUAUGUAAGAAGUCCUCGUUUCUUCGUUGAACGUGGACAUUCGAAUGCACCGUUACUAGUGGGCCAUUUUUGGUAAGCAGAACUGGCGAUGCGGGAUGAACCGAACGCGAGGUUAAGGUGCCGGAAUGCACGCUCAUCAGACACCACAAAAAGUGUCAAUUCAUCCAGACAGCCGGACGGUGGCCAUGGAAGUCGGAAUCCGCCAAGGAGUGUGUAACAACUCACCGGCCGAAUGAAUUGGCCUUGAAAAUGGAUGGCGCUCAAGCGUGCUACCCAUACCUCG